UGGGUUUCGAUCGUAUCUAAGAUCCUAUUUUAUCUGGGUUGCCGGGUUCGAGUCCCGGGCAACCCAUAUGGAAA
rnacentral:tRNA from 1 species